rnacentral:rRNA from 1 species
UACGGGGGGAGCAAGCGUUGUUCGGAUUUACUGGGCGUAAAGGGCGGGUAGGCGGCCACCGCAAGUCAGUUGUGAAAUCUCCGGGCUUAACCCGGAAAGGGCAACUGAUACUGCGGGGCUAGAGUGCAGAAGGGGCAACUGGAAUUCUCGGUGUAGCGGUGAAAUGCGUAGAUAUCAGGAGGAACACCGGUGGCGAAGGCGGCCCUCUGGACGGAUACUGACGCUGAGACGCGAAAGCGUGGGGAGCAAACAGG